rnacentral:misc_RNA from 1 species
AAUUCUCAAUCUUAUUAGCUUUUGUUAAUGAAGACUUGGAUGUGGGGGGAAAAUUUUUUUGAAGGUUUCUCGCGAGCCUUCUCCCCUAAAAUGCAUUAGCUGGUCGCUCGCGCGAACUGUCUAUUGGUGUGAUAAUUAUCUACGCCAUUGACUAACUGCCAUAGUAGCACUGCUUCUAAUUGUCUUCGGACAAUAUAUGACA